AUUGAACGCUGGCGGCAGGCUUAACACAUGCAAGUCGAGCGGGGGAAGGUAGCUUGCUACUGGACCUAGCGGCGGACGGGUGAGUAAUGCUUAGGAAUCUGCCUAUUAGUGGGGGACAACAUCUCGAAAGGGAUGCUAAUACCGCAUACGUCCUACGGGAGAAAGCAGGGGAUCUUCGGACCUUGCGCUAAUAGAUGAGCCUAAGUAGGAUUAGCUAGUUGGUGGGGUAAAGGCCCACCAAGGCGACGAUCUGUAGCGGGUCUGAGAGGAUGAUCGGCGACACUGGGACUGAGACACGGCCCAGACUCCUACGGGAGGCAGCAGUGGGGAAUAUUGGACAAUGGGGGGAACCCUGAUCCAGCCAUGCCGCGUGUGUGAAGAAGGCCUUAUGGUUGUAAAGCACUUUAAGCGAGGAGGAGGCUACUCUAGUUAAUACCUAGGGAUAGUGGACGUUACUCGCAGAAUAAGCACCGGCUAACUCUGUGCCAGCCGCCGCGGUAA
rnacentral:rRNA from 1 species